AUUUUUUGUCUAUUUCUAAUUUAAUAUUCUAUGUAAUCGUACGUAAACAUAACGUUAUGUUAUGUACAUGGAAAAAUUCAUUUGUUUGUCUAUGGUACAGUGACGAGACGAACGUAAGGUGACGUAACGCGCAUGCGCGCCGCGAUAUAUAUACGGUCUUGCCGGUAACGUGCCGCCAUUUUGAGUUCGGUGACUAGCUACUUGGACACGGGAUCGGUAUCGUCCUCGUUUAUUGCAGAUUUCCAAGAAUUCAAGUAAGGAUCGGAGAAGAACAGGAGAGAAUAAGAUGGAGAGAAGGUAUCAUCCGCGCUUUGUAAGCCAUUGUAGGAUAUUAACGUCGUAUAAAUAAGGAAAUUCGUUUUCACGAGAGAAUGUAAACAGAAUACAGUCGGGCAUUUGGCUUUACAGUUGAGAGACUGGGGGUUAAACCUCCUCAGAGUAAUACGAUAUCUGGAGGCGACAUAGCCACGAAUUUUCACGAAUAACAUAUAUAUAUAUAUAUAUAUAGGGUGUCCAAAAAGGCAUAGGAUGAAACUUAUAUUACGUAUUAACAAGAUCAAAUAGAUGAAAAAUGUUUAUAUAUAAUGUUAUGUCUGAAAAUGUUUUAUCAAAAAGAUAUACGAUUUUAAAGAUAUUUCUGAUUUAUUGUCGACAGUUAUAAGAAAUGUUUGAAAAUUUCUCUUUCUUACAAGUAUACAGGUAUUAUUCAUUCAUGGAAUUAAUAAUUGCUCGCAAUCAAAUAUUCAAAUAUUCCAAUUGUAUUGGAAAUAAUAAAUAAAUGUAUUUUCGAAUACAUUUAACUAAAAGUUUAUUCUCUUCUUUCUAUCGUAUAUUUAUAAAUCUUAUAUUUUUUCACGUGUAUCCCAAAAAUCAAAGUUUAAGUCAGGUGAUUUAAGAGGCCGAUUGUUAGGGUCAAUCAUUAAUUCGACGAGUGGAAAUAAAAUGUAUAUAUUUUUAAAAGUAUAUAACUUUUAUAUGAACUUUUUCCAUCCAUUUAAUCUCAGUAAUACGUAGUAUAAAGU